GGGGCUGUAGCUCAGCUGGGAGAGCACUUCGUUCGCAACGAAGGGGUCGAGGGUUCGAAUCCCUUCAGCUCCA
rnacentral:tRNA from 1 species